rnacentral:rRNA from 1 species
CACUGAAGGCGCAAGCUUGAUGUGAUAGUGGUCCCAAGUAUGCUUCCAAGAAAAACCUCUAAGCUUCAGGAUAAUACAACCCGUACCGUAAACCGACACAGGUAGUCGAGGAGAGCAUCCUCAGGCGCUCGAGUGAUCCGUGGCUAAGGAACUAGGCAAAAUGGUCUCGUAACUUCGGGAGAAGAGACGCUCCGAGCAAUCGGAGCCGCAGUGAAGAGGCCCAGGCGACUGUUUAGCAAAAACACAGGACUCUGCAAAAUCGUAAGAUGAAGUAUAGGGUCUGACACCUGCCCGGUGCCGGAAGGUUAAGGAAGGUUGUUAGUUCUUCGGAACGAAGCAAUUGACUGAAGCCCCGGUAAACGGCGGCCGUAACAAUAACGGUCCUAAGGUAGCGAAAUUCCUUGUCGGGUAAGUUCCGACCUGCACGAAUGGUGUAACGAUCUGGGCACUGUCUCAGCCACGAGCUCGGUGAAAUUGAAGUAUCGGUGAAGAUGCCGGUUACCCGCAACGGGACGGAAAGACCCCGUGCACCUUUACUACAGCUUCACAUUGUGCUUGAGUAUAAGAUGUGUAGGAUAGGUGGGAGGCUUUGAAGCUGCCGCGCCAGCGGUGGUGGAGCCGACCUUGAAAUACCACCCUUCUUAUACUUAGGUUCUAAUCCCUGUAAAGCAGGGAGACAUUGUGUGGUGGGUAGUUUGACUGGUGGUCGCCUCCUAAAGAGUAACGGAGGCUCGCAAAGGUACCCUCAGCAUGGUUGGUAAUCAUGCGCAGAGCGUAUUAGUACAAGGGUGCUUGACUGAGAGAGGGACGCCUCGACCAGGUACGAAAGUAGGCUAAAGUGAUCCGGUGGUUCCGCAUGGAAGGGCCAUCGCUCAAAGGAUAAAAGGUACGCCGGGAUAACAGGCUGAUCUCCCCCAAGAGCUCAUAUCGACGGGGAGGUUUGGCACCUCGAUGUCGGCUCGUCACAUCCUGGGGCUGGAGAAGGUCCCAAGGGUUGGGCUGUUCGCCCAUUAAAGUGGCACGCGAGCUGGGUUCAGAACGUCGCAAGACAGUUCGGUCCCUAUCUGUUGUGGGCGUUGGAAUAUUGAGGAGAUCUGACUCUAGUACGAGAGGACCGGGUUGGACGCACCUCUAGUGUACCUGUUGUGACGCCAGUUGCAUUGCAGGGUAGCUAUGUGCGGAAUGGAUAAGCGCUGAAAGCAUCUAAGCGCGAAGCCAACUCCAAGAUGAGUAUUCCA